GGAAGGGUGGCCGAGCGGUUUAAGGCAGCGGUCUUGAAAACCGCCGUGCGGGCGACCGCACCGUGGGUUCGAAUCCCACCCCUUCCGCCA
rnacentral:tRNA from 1 species